CACGUGGUGGAGCCCACACCCACGUGAAUACCCCUCCCUCCGGCCUAGCGCUCCCUUUCCCUUUCCCAAAUCUCGUUUCCGUUUUCUUUGUCUCUCAGAUCCGGAUCCGGUCGUGAGAGCUCCACCCCCCUGCGCGAGCGGCGCGGAAGACCGGCGGCGGGGAGGCGCUGCGCGGCGCGCCGGCAGCGGGAGAGGCACGGCGCGGCGACGAUGUAGCUGCUGAAGGUCCAUGGGGCCGGGCUCCAUGGUGGCGAAUCAGUUGUGCUGCGGCGGGCUCCCCGGGGUCGACCUCCGCGAGCGGCGACGGCGACGGCGGGCUCCCCUGGGGCUGAGCUCCUCGAGCGGCGGUGGCAGCAGCGGGCUCCGAAAGAUCGGGCCCAAGGAAUUUACUUCUGUGUUUUACAGUCUUCAGAAUUGGAGAGUUUGGCCGUGAUCGGAGUGGUAAGAUUGACUCAUCAGAACUGCGUGAUGCUCUUUCUCAGUCUGGGAUACUCUGUCUCUCCAACUGUGCUAGACCUGCUUGUGUCUAAAUUUGACAAGACUAGGGCAAGAGCAGAGCAAUUGAAUAUGAUAACUUCAUUGAAUGUUGCCUCACCGUUAAGGUAUGCCUCAACCAUGCUGAACAAGCGCAUCAUUUUUCUUUAAUUGCAUCUUCUUCCGUUAUCUUAUGGAUUACCAUUUAGCAUUUUUCUUUAAGGUAUUAACAUAUUUUUGAAUAACUUUUAUUUUAGAUAUAGGAUAUAACUUUUCUUUUGCAAAACUUCCGGACUAACUUUUAUGUGAAGUGUGAAGUUGCUACAGUUGGUAACACAAGUUUUCCCUUAAAAAUAAUAAAGAAAGUUUAUGUUAGUAAGUUAUUCAUCAAAGUUUGGUGAAAACUCUUUCGUAAUUUUUUAAAAAGUUCUAUAGUUCCUAAUUUACUACUAACAAAUCUUUACAGAAGUUGUGCUCAUAACUUUUUUAUUAACAUUCGUCAAGAAGAUUUCUAUAAAAAAUAAAAGUGGUAAGUUAUUUAUCAAAGUUCUUCCAGGAAAUUCUUUUACAAAGAUUUCUUUCAAAAGUUGUUAGAAAAAUUUCUGCGUAAAGAAUUUUGUGGAGUAAUUUUAGUCCAAGUUUUCUAGAUAAGUUUCCCAGGAACAAAUAUUAUACAAAACUUUUCUUUGCAAAGUUUUUUCACAAAGUUUUAUAGUUGAUUGUUUUAUAAGAAAGUUACUAGGGAAGUUCUAUACGAAAAAUUUAUUUAGAAAAGUCUUCUAUAUAAGUUACCUAUAAUAGUUUGUACAAAUAUUUGUUUGAAAAUUUUGUUACACAAUUUUUUUGAAUAAACUUUAGGUUCAACAUUUUUACUUAACUUCAGAAAGUUUAACUUGAUAAGUUUGUUGUAUAAGUUUUGAUAACUAAGUUUUUCUGAGAAAGAAGUUUUUCAUACUAAGCAAAGUAAAAAUUUUAUAAAAGUUCUCCAAAAAAAUUUUCAUAAAAGAUUUAUGCAAAAAAUUGUUUGUUAAAAAUCUUCCAAAAAAUUUAUGUGAAAGUUUGCCUACAUUGUUUUUUAUAUGCAAAAACUUGUCUGUUAAAAAUAUAAAUUCUCUACAAACCAUUUUCGUAAACAAAUCCUCUCAAAAAGUUUGCCUACAUUGUUUUUUAUAUAAAGUUUAUUCUGCUAAAAUUUAAAUUAUUUUUUAUACAUAAGUUUAUCAUGAAAAUAUGUAUAUUUAACUUGCAACACAUUCAAAAGUACGUUCAGUUUCCUGCUAUAUAUGUUUCUUGGUGAUGUGUUGCGACUGUUCCUUUCAUCCUUUGGAUUCCUUGAUUGGAAGGGGUGCUGGUUGGCAAACAGGGUUAUCAUGGCAUGCUGCAGGUGAUGGUCUCAAGGUAGUUUAGAAUAGGUUCUUUGGCUAAUAGAAUUAUAGAAUUGUAUGUGUUUUUAAGUUUGUAGCGAAUAGAUGGGAUAGAUGCUUUAGGAACACUUUUGCUUGUUUAAUUUAUUUUGAAUGAGCUUGCGCAAGCUGCUUUAAGUACAAACACCUCAGUAUAUGCAGGAGUUCAGCAAUGACCGAUCAGAGAUAUAUGAUCUGGCCUAACUUUAUGCGAUUGUCAAUUCCAUUUUCUUAUCCCGAAUACAUUUUUUCAGUUAUGCAAAGUCAUCUUAGUCAGUCUGUAAAUGACUUGAUCUGUUUACUUUUGAUAAAUGAUAUGAGCUUUCUGAAACCUGUGUUUGGGAGUUUGCCCACUGUUUUUAUAUAUCAAGUCAAUUGUGCUUCAUUUGGAGGCGGCUCGGGCUCGACCUUCAACACGCUCCAGUGCUGGAAACGGAGACGGGGCUGGGGAUGGCGUGGAUCUCACGAAAGCGGUGGCAGAUGAGGCAAGCUUCGACCACGAUGGAACGACGCGAUGCGAGCGGGGCCGCUUACUACGAGCAGUGGUCGGAGCAUGGCGGCGGAUCCUACGGGGGAGAUGUGCAAGGCUGCCAUUGAUGGAUCCAAUGUGCGUGUGUGCUUGUUGCAGAACUGUUGAAUGUUUGACCAAGCAAAAGGAAAAGGCAUUGGUAAAAAUAGUAGUAAGGAUUAGCAGAAGAAAUACAGAUACUAGUUAUUAAAACCACAACAUGUAUUCUGAUAUAUUUCUUUUUCAAUGUUACUAUACUAUAUUUGCCAGAGUUUUUGCAUACUGUGUGUUAGUGCAUAUUUUCA